GCUGUGAGCUCGAUGAGUAGGGCGGGACACGUGGUAUCCUGUCUGAAUAUGGGGGGACCAUCCUCCAAGGCUAAAUACUCCUGACUGACCGAUAGUGAACCAGUACCGUGAGGGAAAGGCGAAAAGAACCCCGGCGAGGGGAGUGAAAAAGAACCUGAAACCGUGUACGUACAAGCAGUGGGAGCACGCUUAGGCGUGUGACUGCGUACCUUUUGUAUAAUGGGUCAGCGACUUAUAUUCUGUAGCAAGGUUAACCGAAUAGGGGAGCCGAAGGGAAACCGAGUCUUAACUGGGCGUUAAGUUGCAGGGUAUAGACCCGAAACCCGGUGAUCUAGCCAUGGGCAGGUUGAAGGUUGGGUAACACUAACUGGAGGACCGAACCGACUAAUGUUGAAAAAUUAGCGGAUGACUUGUGGCUGGGGGUGAAAGGCCAAUCAAACCGGGAGAUAGCUGGUUCUCCCCGAAAGCUAUUUAGGUAGCGCCUCGUGAAUUCAUCUCC
rnacentral:rRNA from 1 species